CACCCCUUCGUUCUACUCCCUCGAUAUCUGAUCCUUCUAUCCGAAUCCCUUCCGAUAUAACACCGUAUUACCUUAUAGCUUUAUCCUCGUAGAGCCCUAAGGACCUCCCUAGAUCAGCAGCGAGAUCCUCGACCCGCCGCUUACAUUUCCAUACUAGACUGUGACCGGCAAUCACAGUGUAUAGAUGAUGAAUUGAAUGAUAAUGACUACUGUGAGUCUGACCACAUCAUUACUGUAUAUUCACAGAUAUAUAUGUCACUAUGAGCACAAUUAUUUAGCAAAUGAUUAUGUUGACUUUUUGCUAUGAAUAAUCUGGUGAUCGAAAUGCUAUCUUGACAUAAUUAUCUCACUUUUAUAUAGUUCAUAUAUUAUAAUAAUAGAUCUACUGAUCAUAUUUAGCACUAUUGAUAUGAUAUUUCUCCUGAUGAUGUGGUUAUUUUGUAUGUAAUGGAG
rnacentral:sRNA from 2 species